UGAAGUGUGACUCAUUCUCCUCUCUCUUCCUUCUUUCUGCUUUUCUCUUUGCUUCUCCUUCACAAAACAUUUGGUCUGUCUUUUAAGAGGAUCAUUAUUGAACCACGAAUGAGUUCUCAGAUACUGAACAUGAACACAGAAGAGGAUGGAUACUCUCAUUUAAAUCACCUGCCACAGCAUCCAUCCAGACACUACAUGUCUGUGAGCAUCAACCAAGGGCGAUCUCUUCCCUUGGCUGUAUGGUUGCCAGCUAUCUUCACUUUGUUUGUACUGUGCCUGGCCCUCAUCAUAGGAAUGAUAGUCCUAGGUCUCAGAGGUUCUCAAGCACCUGUGGAACACAAUGAAACUUGCAAGGACUAAAAGAGAGAUUAUGCUCAGUGGGUGACAGGAACAUUAAGAACAACAGACCAGCAUGUUCACUGUGCCCUGUAAACUGGAAAUGGAUUGGAGGUGACACCUGUUUCUACAUUUCAGAAAAGGACGCAACAUGGCAAGAAAGUAAAGACUUUUGCUUUUCUCAGAAUUCCACCCUUCUUACACUGAAAAAGAAAAGCAAGUUGAUCAGAAUGUCUCAUAUAUUACAAAAACAAUCGUAUUGGACUGGAUUAUCCUAUGGAGUUGAUGGCUGGUCUUGGAUGGAUGAUACAAAACUUUCUACACAGAGGAUGGACUGGAUUGAUUUGUCCUCUAAGAAAAACUGUGCGUACCUAUACUAUCGUAAAUUAAAAGUUUACAGUAAGGAUUGUUAUGAGAAAUAUCCUUGGAUCUGUGAAAAGGCAGCAGUCCAGUUGAUCUAAAAAUAUUCUUCUGAUCAGCAGAAGGAGAACUGGAAGCAUAUGAAGAAGAUUGUCAUUUUCAGAUUUUUCAAAAAGAUGAUGUAAAAUAAUGUUUAAUAGAAAUUCAAAGCGGAGUCUAUCCUUCACAUACACUAAAAUAUAACAGAGAAAGGAAGCCUUUCCAGAUAAAUAGAAUCAGCAAUAACAAAUAUUUAUGAAUCAGAGACAAGAUAUUAGCCUCAUCUGUCUAGCUCAGAAACCUGAACCUUAGCAAAGCUGUUAAUCUCAAGCAUGUCAACAUAGUCAAAUAACUCAGAAGCGUAAAGGCUUGUGGCGCUGCUUCUUGUCACUGGUUAGAAUUUCUUAUAUAUCCAUUUCUACCAGGGCUCUCCUUUUAGCCCAUUUGACUUUACUCCUAUGAUGUCUUCUCUCACUUCUAUUUACAAAGAUACAUUCACCUCCAAAAACUCUUAACUAUUUACAGUUUUCUCUUCAAUGCACCAACUUUCAGUUAUUCUAAAUUACUCUAAAACUCCAAAGCAAACACUUCGCUCCUUUACUACUCAAAUAUGUGUGGCUUCUUUGUUUGCUGCUUAGCUGCAAAACAUCAGUUAGCACCCUCAUCCUCCUCUUGGCUGGGGAAUAUGAAUUUUAAGUAUGUUCAAAUUUUAGAUCCAGGUAAUGACGCUUUUCCUCUACAUGCGAUAAUGUGAUCUUCCAAGAAGGCCCAGAAGUCAUUGUUAAAUAAGUGUUAAUAAACAGUUUGUUGUUAUCAUAAUUGCCAUAACCGUUAUGCAGGGAGAAUGGAAAUACUGAUUGGAUAUUUCCAAGAUUGCCAUCCUAAGACCAUUGGUCUUCAACUAAGAGGGAAUAUCUCCAUCUCUUUAGCUAACACAUAGGGCCCUAGAGGGAAGAGGGAUCCAAAAUACCUAGUUGAUAUUCAGCUGUCACCUUCUCCAAACUCAAGAGAUGUCUGUCCCAAUGAGCAGAAAUUCAGGCAAAAAUGCCAGGAGACAUUUGAUGAACUAGAGGUUCCUGGCCAAAUUCAAACACAAAAAGAAAGUGCAGAGAGGGUAGAUACAUGGAUGUGUAACCUGGGAGUAAUACAGAGACAGGGAUGAGGUUAGGAAAUCCAGAGCCCAUUUGGAACUCACUCUGGCCAGUGAUGUCAAAGACAACAGGAAGGGCUUCUGGGUGACAAAAUGUAGAUGGAAAAAUAUGGACCCACUGCUGAAGGAGACGGUGGACUCGAUUAUAUAAGAGGUGGAAACAGCUGAGGUACUGGAUGCCUUCUUUGCUUCAGUCUUUACAAGCAAGAUUGGCCUUGAUGCAUACCAGGCCCCAGAAUGUAGAGGGAAAGUCUGGAGCAAGGAAGAAGUUCUGGUCUGGGAACACAAGCACACUGUACAUACAUAAAUCCAUUGGCUCUGAUGGGAUGUACCCAUGAGCGCUGUGGGAGCUGGAAGAUGUCACUGUUGCAAGAUCACCUUCAAAAACUCUUUAAUGAUCGUGGUUACUGAGAGAGUGCCUGAGGACUGGAGGAAAGCAAAUAUCACUCCUAUCUUCAAGAAAGUCAGGAAGGAAGACCCAGGGCCAGUCGGACUCACCUCAGUCCCUGGGAAAGUGAUGGAGCACAUAAUCCUGGAAACUAUUUCCAAGCACAUGAAGGGCAAGAAUGUGAUCAGGAGUACUCAGCAUGCUUUCACCAAGGGGAAGUCAUGCUUGAACAACCUCAUAAGCUUCUACAAUGAAAUCACUGGCUGGUAGAUGAGGAGAGAGCAGAGGACAUUGUCUACCUGGACUUCGGUAAGGCUUUCAACACUGUCUCCCAUAAGAUUCUCAUAAAGAAGAUAUGUAUGGGCUGGAUGAGCAGACGGGGGUGGAUUUAAAACUGGCUAAACAGCCAGCCCAAGAAGAAAGUGAUCAGUGUUGUAAAGUCUAGUCAGAGACCACUAACUAACAGUGUAUGUCAGUGGUAAAUAUUGAAUCCAGUCCUGUUUAACCUCUUUAUUAAUGAUCUGGAUGAUGGAGCAGAGUGUACCCUCUGCGUCUCUGAAGAUAAUACAAAACUGAAAGGAGAGGUGACCAUAUGGUUGUGCUGACAGUCAGAGGGACCUCAACAAGCUGGAGACAGGGGCUGACCUCAUGAAGCUCAAAAGAGUGAUGCAAAGUCCUGCACCAGGGGAGAAAAAACCAACCCCAUGCACCAAUAUACGCUGGGGGCAAAACAGCUGGAAAGAAGCUAGGCAGAAAACGUCCUGGGGUCCUGAUGGACACCAAGUUGAACAUGAGCUGGAAAAGUGCCCCUGCCACAGAGAAGGCUGUUAGUAUCAUGAGCUACAUUAGACAAAGUAUUGUCAGCAAUUUGAGGAAGGUAUUACUUCCCCUCUCCUCAGCAUUGAUGAGGCCACACCUGGAGUACUGUGCGCAUUUCUGGGCUCCUCAGUACAAGAGACACAUGGACAUACUGGAGAGGGCCACAGAGAUAAUGAAGGGACUGGAGCAACUCUCCUAUGAGGAAAGGCUGAGAGAGCUGGGACUCUUCAGCCUGGAGAAUAUAAGGCCUAGGAGAAUCUUAUCAAUGUAUACAAAUACCUGGAAAGAAGCUGAAAAGAAGACAUAGCUACACUCUCUUCAGUUGUACCUAGUGCCAGGACAAGAGGCAACGGGCACAAACCGAAACACAGGAUGUUGCCUCUCAACAUCAGGAAGCCCUUCUUUACUAUGCAGGUGACUAAGCACUGGUGUUGUUUGCACAUAGAGGUUGCAGAGUCUGGCCCUUUGAAGAUACUCAAAAGCCAUCUGGACAUGAUCCUGGGCAAUUGUCUCUAGGUAUCUCAGCUUGAGCAGAUGGGAUGGACCAGAUGGCCUCCAGAGGUUCCUUCCAACAUAAACCAUCCAUUGAUUCUGAAGUUCUAUGGUUGAUUCAAGAGCUUAAAUUUUAUAUACACUAAUCUCAGAAAACCUCAGUGUGAUACUCAUGUGGCUGUGUUCAAAAGAGGUUGAUAAUUUAAUAGAGCUUGCUACUUUUGAGUAGGAACAUUGAUUAGGGAACUUCCUUUGGUUUUGUUCUAAGUUUGAAAUUGACUGAGGUUUUUUCUUCAUGUUGGAAAACAGAUUUGAGCAGACAAAAUUGAAAAUAUAUUUUGAUGUCUUUCUAUGACACUUACAGUCUACUAGAAAUUUGAUUUGUCUCCAGUGUGCAUAGGGAUGCAGCUUGAACCACCACAUUCAGCAAUGACACUUCUUGGUCUAUGAAUGUGUGAUAACGUUGGUGGUAGGGGAGGUGGUUGGACCAGAUGGUCUUGGAGGUCUUUUCCAACCUUAAUGAUUCUAUGAUUCUAUGAUAUUCAUGACACAAUCAUACAGCAGAAGAAACUGCUCUCUUUCCUUGGGUUGCAAUAUUAUACUUCAAAAUACAGAUUUUUGAAAUGCGUAAGAUUUUUGCCUUCAUAGCAUAGGCAAGUUGAUGUUAAUUAUCUAUUUACUUUCUGCUACAAAAUACUGGUUUUCAUGUAUACUGUUCCCAUUAAAUAUUUGCACCA